rnacentral:rRNA from 1 species
UACGUAGGGUGCAAGCGUUGUCCGGAAUUAUUGGGCGUAAAGAGCUCGUAGGCGGUCUGUCGCGUCUGCUGUGAAAACUCGGGGCUUAACCCCGGGCCUGCAGUGGGUACGGGCAGACUAGAGUGCGGUAGGGGAGACUGGAAUUCCUGGUGUAGCGGUGAAAUGCGCAGAUAUCAGGAGGAACACCGGUGGCGAAGGCGGGUCUCUGGGCAACAACUGACGCUGAGUGAGCGAAAGCCAGGGGAGCAAACGGG